rnacentral:rRNA from 1 species
GCUCUCUGGUGAUUCAUAAUAACUUCUCGAAUCGCACGGCCUUGCGCCGGCGAUGGUUCAUUCAAAUUUCUGCCCUAUCAACUUUCGACGGCUGGGUCUUGGCCAGCCAUGGUGACAACGGGUAACGGAGGGUUAGGGCUCGACCCCGGAGAAGGAGCCUGAGAAACGGCUACUACAUCCAAGGAAGGCAGCAGGCGCGCAAAUUACCCAAUCCCGACUCGGGGAGGUAGUGACAAUAAAUACUGAUACAGGGCUCUUUUGGGUCUUGUAAUUGGAAUGAGUACAAUUUAAAUCCCUUAACGAGGAACAAUUGGAGGGCAAGUCUGGUGCCAGCGGCCGCGGUAAUUCCAGCUCCAAUAGCGUAUAUUAAAGUUGUUGCAGUUAAAAAGCUCGUAGUUGAACCUUGGGCCUGGCUGGCCGGUCCGCCUCACCGCGUGCACUGGUCCGGCCGGGCCUUUCCCUCUGGGGAACCGCAUGCCCUUCACUGGGUGUGUCGGGGAACCAGCACUUUUACUUUGAACAAAUUAGAUCGCUUAAAGAAGGCCUAUGCUCGAAUACAUUAGCAUGGAAUAAUAGAAUAGGACGUGUGGUUCUAUUUUGUUGGUUUCUAGGACCGCCGUAAUGAUUAAUAGGGACAGUCGGGGGCAUCAGUAUUCAAUUGUCAGAGGUGAAAUUCUUGGAUUUAUUGAAGACUAACUACUGCGAAAGCAUUUGCCAAGGAUGUUUUCAUUAAUCAGGAACGAAAGUUAGGGGAUCGAAGACGAUCAGAUACCGUCGUAGUCUUAACCAUAAACUAUGCCGACUAGGGAUCGGACGAUGUUAUAUUUUGACUCGUUCGGCACCUUACACGAAAGUAAAGUUUCUGGGUUCUGGGGGGAGUAUGGUCGCA